rnacentral:misc_RNA from 1 species
GAGUACUCACCUUCACCAUAGAAAACAAAAGAAAUACAUUUUCCCUGGUCAAGAACCAUACCAUCAACUUAGAGAAAUUUUGAUAUUGCACUGAAGUCUCAAACCAUGUCCAAAGGGAAAAUUGGAAAAAGAAAACAGGGUAAAAGGCACGAUCUCCUUCGAUAGAGAUCACCUCAGGUAAAAACAGAUAAUUCUAGUGACUUAGAACUUAAAUCAC